AUUGAACGCUGGCGGCAGGCCUAACACAUGCAAGUCGAGCGGAGCGGGGACGGGUGAGUAACACGUGGGUAACCUCCCAUCAGAGGGGAUAACACUUGGAAACAGGUGCUAAACCGAUACUGAUGGAUGGACCCGCGGUGCAUUGUCUAGUUGGUGAGGUAACGGCCCACCAAGGCCACGAUGCAUAGCCGACCUGGGAGGGUGAUCGGCCACACUGGGACUGGGACACGGCCCAGACUCCUACGGGAGGCAGCAGUAGGGAAUCUUCGGCAAUGGACGAAAGUCUGACCGAGCAACGCCGCGUGAGUGAAGAAGAUUUUCGGAUCGUAAAACUCUGUUGUUAGAGAAGCGGUAUCUAACCAGAAAGCCACGGCUAACUACGUGCCAGCAGCCGCGGUAAUAC
rnacentral:rRNA from 1 species